CUCUCCGUGACCAGUGUGGUGUGUUUUUAGCUCAGCUAGGCGGCUCUAUAGCACCUGGGAUGCAGAACCAGCCAGACAUUCCCCCAAACACCACAGCAAGACUCUUUAAACAGCACGAUGUUUGGGAAAUUCUCCACACCUCCCGUAUUCACUGCUAGGUUAUUGGAUAGGCUUCAGAAGGCAGCUCCAGGCAGUGCCAAGUCGAACCAGCCCCAUCUAUGUGUGUUUUGUUCGGCAGGUUUUCUGCACACCAGAUGAAUUGCACACACACACACACACACACACACACACACACACACACACACAGAAUGUAUGCACAUACACACACUGCUCUGUGGCUUGCUUUUUCUAGCAGGAGCACUUUGGCCAGCGACCAGAGGCAGACAGCAAAGGUGAGCAGCAUCCAGACGCUUGUUGUUCCUAGUCCCGAUGAAGUCAAGGUCCCCUCGUGUGGAAACAGAAACAAACCCACAACGCUGUCUGACAGCGGCGGCUGGAUGUGUCUGAAUGCGUGGCGACUCCGGGAAGUCCUCAGAACCAUGCAGGUCCUUGAAGAAGCUGCUGUCUUACUGUGUUGUGGGAAAGGAGAGAAAACAGCACAGUUGAGUGAGUCUUCUGUGUGGGGGAAGAGUACACCUCCACAAAGGGAGAUCUGCAUGCUACGUUUCAGCUUUCCUGUUGAAAGUGCAUCCCAGAGAGAGCCACAGCCCACAGCCAAUGGAGUCUGCACUUGAGUUCUGCACUUGAGGUUCCCCAUCCCCCGGGUGUGUCAUGUCAGAGCAGCUGACUGUGGCAGAGGGGAAACCAGGAACUCUGCCUGCAUCUUUUGAUCCUCCUUACCCUCAUCUCAAAAUAGCCCCUGUGCCAAAGUGACGGAUUAGAGGAUGCUGUACUCCAAAUCCUUUCACUGGGAAGAGGGUCCAGACUUGUAAAUGCCCUGGCUGGCAAAACUCCAACGCAUUUGUUGCAGGGUACCUUUGUACAUGGCAGGGUGAGAGUCAAUCUGACGCUUAGCCAACCCACGGGAUGCUACACUUAAACAAUGCACUAAUUGAACGAGCUAGUGAAAUUAAGUUUCAAGAGAUUGUAUUUAUUUUUAUUAAAAAACUCACCUUAAUUGUGUGGUAUAUCUUAGAGUCUAGUACUUAAUGAAGCUGCUUAAUGAAGAAUUCUAUUUUGGCUUUAGAAAAUAUCUAUGUUAACCAGGCCCGUGUAAAGAAUAGCUAUUUUUACCACUAGGCAAUUACUAAGGAACCAUUAUCUACUUUAUCCCAAUUAUGAGAUGCAUAACUUGGAAGAAAUAAAGAGCUUGGCGG